rnacentral:rRNA from 1 species
UGGGGAAUUUUGGACAAUGGGCGAAAGCCUGAUCCAGCAAUGCCGCGUGUGUGAAGAAGGCCUUCGGGUUGUAAAGCACUUUUGUCCGGAAAGAAAUCCUUGGCUCUAAUACAGUCGGGGGAUGACGGUACCGGAAGAAUAAGCACCGGCUAACUACGUGCCAGCAGCCGCGGUAAUACGUAGGGUGCAAGCGUUAAUCGGAAUUACUGGGCGUAAAGCGUGCGCAGGCGGUUUGCUAAGACCGAUGUGAAAUCCCCGGGCUCAACCUGGGAACUGCAUUGGUGACUGGCAGGCUAGAGUAUGGCAGAGGGGGGUAGAAUUCCACGUGUAGCAGUAGAAUGCGUAGAGAUGUGGAGGAAUACCGAUGGCGAAGGCAGCCCCUGGGCAAUACUGACGCUCAUGCACGAAAGCGUGGGGAGCAAACAGGAUUCAGAUACCCUGGUAGUCCACGCCCUAAACGAUGUCAACUAGUUGUUGGGGAUUCAUUUCCUUAGUAACGUAGCUAACGCGUGAAGUUGACCGCCUGGGGAGUACGGUCGGCAAGAUUAAAACUCAAAUGAAUUGACGGGGUCAUAGCUGUUUCCU